AUUGAACGCUGGCGGCAGGCUUAACACAUGCAAGUCGAACGAUGAAACUCUAGCUUGCUAGAGAUGAUUAGUGGCGGACGGGUGAGUAACAUUUAGGAAUCUGCCUAGUAGUGGGGGAUAGCUCGGGGAAACUCGAAUUAAUACCGCUUACGACCUACGGGUGAAAGGGGGCGCAAGCUCUUGCUAUUAGAUGAGCCUAAAUCAGAUUAGCUAGUUGGUGGGGUAAAGGCCCACCAAGGCGACGAUCUGUAACUGGUCUGAGAGGAUGAUCAGUCACACCGGAACUGAGACACGGUCCGGACUCCUACGGGAGGCAGCAGUGGGGAAUAUUGGACAAUGGGGGCAACCCUGAUCCAGCCAUGCCGCGUGUGUGAAGAAGGCCUUUUGGUUGUAAAGCACUUUAAGCAGGGAGGAGAGGCUAAUGGUUAAUACCCAUUAGAUUAGACGUUACCUGCAGAAUAAGCACCGGCUAACUCUGUG
rnacentral:rRNA from 1 species